rnacentral:lncRNA from 1 species
AAAGCCUCGUGCAGUUUGCAGCAAGCUCUCGAAUCCGCCUGGUGAUUGGGGUGACCGCGAACCUGGCCUGAGACCCCGGAUACUUGAGUUUUCGGGGGUCUAACAUUUUGGGGGCUCGUCCGGGAUUUGCGACCACCCUUCACCUGAGUGGAUUCGAUCUUGGAGCACAUGGCACGGGAAAGGAGUUCUGCCAUGUGUCACGGGUUAGAAUGUGUUAUGUUGGAGUCCCCCGAUGCUGCUUUUCUGAACUCGAACCACUGCUGCAGCCCUUACAGCUGAGCCUGGCCCAUGUAGUUUAUAAUGUCAGACAGACUGCCAGAUCUGGACAGUGACCCAAAGUCUCCAAAGAAGAUUACGAGGCACCUCAGUUCCUGCACCUGGACCAGUGAGCGAGAUGCUCAGAUGUGAAACCUGCCGCCUGCCAGAACCUGGCCAAGAAUGUGGACAAAGCUGCUGGGCACUGGAAAAUUGAUUGUACCCCUUUGCCUAGACAAAACAAGUUUAAAUAUGUCUUAAACAGGUUUCUGCUUCUGGCAGACAUCUGAAUGUGAACCAGUCAGCUGAUGUGGACACCCCCUGUCUCUGCAACAGUGUCUGCUAACCAGAAGCCCCUGAUGAAUUCCCCAUUGCCUAAAUUCCUUUUUGCUUUUGACUAGCAUUUCAACCUUCUGGGGUCCCUAACUUCGUCCCAAAGUCAGCAGGAAGCAGUUUAGAAAAAAAUUUCGGCGUCCAUUUUCCCUGGUUAAAAUGCUAAGUCAAAAGGAACUCCCUUACAUGGGGAUGCCAAUAUCUAUCACUCCCUGAUGGGGAUGCUAGAGAGACAGCAAUUCCAUGAUUGGAAUUUCCAGAAAAGAAAAUGGGGGAAUGAAGGAACCGGCUUCCCUUUUGGCAGCCAUAAUGGUUGAACAUGUGCCUUUAUGACCUUGUCCUAGAAACCAGAAAGUCAGAUGCCUGUCUUGUGACAAGGAACCAAUCAGAAGUUAGCUGGUGGCGCUAUGCUUUAUGGCUCUGGGUGUGCUUUACGGACAAGCGCACAGCAAUGAUGUAGAGAGCAUAGCAACCACCCUGGGAGGGCCUAUGAGCCAUAACAACCAGUUGACCAAUCAACACAGGGCAAGCCCUCCAAGCCUGGAAGCACACCAAUCCUGAGCCUGUGCGUACCCCUAGACACUCCCCUUACGCUGCC